rnacentral:rRNA from 1 species
AUUGAACGCUGGCGGCAUGCCUUACACAUGCAAGUCGAACGGUAACAGGUCUUCGGAUGCUGGCGAGUGGCGGACGGGUGAGUAAUACACCGGAACGUGCCCAGACGUGGGGGAUAACGUGGCGAAAGCUUUGCUAAUACCGCAUACGAUCUAAGGAUGAACGCCGGGGACCGCGAGGCAUUGUGCGUUUGGAGCGGCCGAUGGCAGAUUAGGUAGUUGGUGGGAUAAAAGCUUACCAAGCCGACGAUCUGUAGCUGGUCUGAGAGGACGACCAGCCACACUGGGACUGAGACAUGGCCCAGACUCCUACGGGAGGCAGCAGUGGGGAAUUUUGGACAAUGGGCGAAAGCCUGAUCCAGCAAUGCCGCGUGCAGGAUGAAGGCCUUCGGGUUGUAAACUGCUUUUGUACGGAACGAAAAGGCUCUGGCUAAUACCUGGGGCACAUGACGGUACCGUAAGAAUAAGCACCGGCUAACUACGUG